rnacentral:tRNA from 1 species
UGGGCGGUUAGCUCAGCGGUAGAGCGCCUGCCUUACAAGCAGGAUGCCACUGGUUCAAAUCCAGUACCGCCCAU